rnacentral:lncRNA from 1 species
AAGAAACAAAAUUCUUUUUGGAUUUUUCAUUUAUAGUUUUUUUUUGGUUUUUCAAAUACAAAAUAGAAAGUACAAUAGUGAAAGACUCGACAAAAUCUUUAACCACCUAAGAGACUUUAAAACAUGCUCAAAAUAUAAAAAGUCUCCUCAAGUAACUCCUGAACGCAGUGGUCCUGAGAUAUUAGUCAUGCUCGAGCUGUGGUACAUGGAUCCAUACCUAAAUGAGAAAAAAUAAGACCAAACAGAUCAGUGACUCAAGACACUAUGCGACACCACAACACCUCCUAAUUAGACACAUGCAAGACACAAUUGGGCUAUUUUUGAAAAAAAUGACCUACGAAGCUAAGAUGUGGCUAUUAGCGUAAACUCAACAAAGAUGACCUUAAAGACAUGAAAAUACCUCCCUAAGGCUUAUAUGGAUUCAAACUCCCAAUAAUCAUGACCCAAAAUUAAUUUGCAAAAUGACCCAUUUUGCAAAAACGACCGAUAUGGCCAGAAGUGGCUAAAGAUGCAAACUCAAAAAGGAACUUAAAGUACUAUGAUACCUAGUUGUGGACUCAGAAUCCUAAGACAUGGGUAAUUGAACCACUUUUGCGAAAAUAACCCUAUUUUGCAACAAUGGCCGAUAUGGCCAAAAGUGGCUAGACAUUCAAGAUUUGGCUAAGAUCCCGCAAAUCCAAGAACCGAAGACUCACUAGGAAGACCGGACCCUAUGUGAGUUGCCUACGUAUCCCGCCCCGAAAGACGAGAAUCAGGUUCGCGUAGUUCGGGAAGAUUGAAUAUGGGAGAAAGCUUUAAAAAUGACACUAAUUUGAAAAAAAAAAAAAAUUGGAUUUUUUUUUCUUUCUUUUUUGAUUUUUGGAAAAUGAUGGGAAAGUGUAAAAAAAAUUUGGAUUUUUUUUUCAUUUUUUGUAUUUUUUUGGCUUUUCUUUAAAAAGUUGUAAAAGAAAAAUAUAAUUGGGCCAUACUUGCUUCAUUUUCACCCUUCUUUCUCAAACAUCGGUCCGCCAAAUGACCUUUUUCCCUCAAAGAUACAACAUAUAUCACAUAGGGAUGAUUGAAUGUCUUUUUGAGCCACGGACCCAUUUUUGACAAAAUUUGGAUAGACUUCCUACAAAGGGACACGGUACCUUGGACCGAGCCCUGCUAGGUCUAAAUGGCAUGAUGCAAAUAAAAAUGACCUAAAGGCUGACCUAAGUUUGUGGUUCACUAACAAGGCAAUUCGGGGGAGCGUAUGGUCGAUGGUGGCUGCUCAAGCUUUCCACCCACUCCAUACGUCCGACGGCCCCCUCCUAAAUUAAGGGUGACUAAACAAAGAAUUCGUGCAUGCGAUGCGUACUCCGAGACUUGUUGCAGAAAGACCCAUGGUUUUGCAAAUGGUAACAAUUUAUAAAGCAGUAACACAUAAAGAAAAGCUAUAAACAAAUAACCAACAAAAUAAAUAAUAAAGCGACAUAAAUAAGAUAAAAAUGAAAUAAAGCAAACAAAACACAUAGAAACCUCAACCGAAUAUCAUAAAAAGCCAACAAGAUCAAGUACUAACUCGAACCAACAACUCCCCAGCAGAGUCGCCAGAGAUGUCACACCCCUUACGAACCCUUCAAACGAAUUUAUCAUUUCCCUAACUUAAUCAAGAGCCCUGACCCAUCAUACUUCCAAAUAUAACAUCUUACUAGGAGUUAAUCUUCAUUAUAUUUUACUAAUCAACGAUACUAACUUAAACGUGAAGAAUUCUUCUGGCAGAAACUUUCCGUAUCCUCCCUUCCCCUUUGCUUAUGAACUUAGAAAAAGAACAACAUUAAUAAGACACAUAGAAGAAAUUGAAAUCAAUGAAACCAAGAGAGUGAGCAAUACCAUAACUUAAUCACAUAUUAAUCAAACAUUAAUCAAACUAUAAAGAGAAAGAAGAGGAAGAGGGGAAUGGACCUGAUACAGCUAUCUUCGUUUAAUAACGAGGAAGAAAUCAGCGAGUACAAGCCUUGUGCCAAAAUCCAAGAGAGUAAGCAAAGACAGAAUGAUGUAGGAACUGCGAACUGGAACACGCACGACACUGGAAAUCUCGGACUAAACCAAACAAACUCCAGCGAUAAAUUCGAGCCACCCUCAAACUCAAUCGACUUCCAUUUUUAAAAACUAAAUCGAAAUUAGAAGAAGGAAACAAAAAUGUAUUUUUUUGAUUUUUUUUCUUUGAAACUUGAUUAAAAUUUGACCAAACCACAUAAAUAUUUUUGUAUAUGUUUUUGAAUCUAUAAAAAAUUGAAAAUCAGAGAUAAAAAAAUUGAAAGGCAACCUUGUUUUCCCCAAUCAAAACGUCUGAAAUCUCCUCUCGUCUCUCUAUUCUGAGGCCCCUCUGUUGCUCUCCCUCUCGUUAAUCUUUAUCUCGUCCCGUUCCCAUUAUGUUUCUAGGGCAUUCGGCUGAUUCUGCUCUCCCAUGAUAUCAAAGAUCAAACUACUGAAUUUUCGUAUAGAGAUGCUGAAUGGUGAAAAGAUAAUGGAAUGAGUAUGUAUGAAAUAGAAGAGGCAAACAGAAAAUUCUACAUUAGGGUUCGUUAUUUGCUGAUGACUUAGGGUGGUCUUAUAGGGCCUGUGUUCAGUGUUUGUUCGUUGCUUGGGAGUGCAGCUGGUGGGCAGUGAUUUUGGUUGCUUAAAGGGAGUGGUGGGCGUUGGCUGAAAGGGUGGUCGUUUUUAGGAGUUCGCUGGUCUUCUUCUUUUAUUUUUCCGUUGAAUGGUGUUGCGGAUGGGUUGGAGGUGAAGAAGUAGCCUCUGUCGAGAUUUGGAUCUUAGGUUUUGUUCCAUGUCCAUGAAGAAGAAGGGACGACUGGCCCUUUAGUCUCUCUAGGGUUUUGUCUUCCAAGGUUCAAGAAGAAGGGUUUGGGAAGGG